rnacentral:lncRNA from 1 species
AGACUUUGGAGAUCUCACAAAUAAAUAGAAUGUGAAAUCCUCAUUUAGACAAACCAGCUAUAGAAGACUUCUUGGGGACAGCUGGAAAAAUGGCCUAUAAUUUUACUUAGUGGGGAGGAAGAUGAAAUGGAUCUAUGCUGUCUUAUCUAGACUGGAGGUCCCAAGUGAUAUUUCACAAAGGUGCAAAAGCAAUUCAGUGGAAAAAGAAUGACAUUCUCAACAAUGGUCCAUAUAGUGGAUGUCUGCAUACAAAAAAAGAGGAAGGGAUAGUCAUCCUGGAGCCAAAGCAAGACUCAGUACUGAAAGACCAGGGAUUUAGUGUGAAUGAAGGAAGGGCUUUGGUCCCACUGGCCUCCAAGUAUGCCAGAGCAUCACAGUAAGAACUGUGGAUCCUGAGCACCAUGAGAGCAGUCUUAUUCAAGGGCCUUUCCUCAGAAUGGAUGAAUAAGAGUUCAACCAAGUGAAGACAGGGAAGGAGAAUAUUCUAGGAACAAGUUCAGAGUGCACAAAAUCCCCAUGGAGGGAGAGCACAUGAUGUGAAUGAAGGCAGAAGAGGUACCCAAUAAAGCUGGAUAGGUAAGAUGGAGUCAUACGAUGCAAAAAUCUUCAUAGAGCACAUUAAAGAUUUAGUUUUUUGAUGUAAGAACAAUGAGAAGAUGCUGAAGAGUUUUAGGAGUGUGGGGGAGGUGGCAUGAUCAGAGUACACUUUGAAAAAGAUAAGUCUGACCAAAGUAAAGGAGAGCAUAGUGAAUACAUAGAGAACAGUUAGGAGGUGUUGAAGAA